rnacentral:rRNA from 1 species
UGUACUGUCAUGUAACAGAACUGUGGGGACGCAGGGAGGAAAGAAGAGCCGGGAAUGAAGAGACCGGUGCAAGCGAGGUAGGAGUCUGAAGGGCAAAACCGUCAGACAAUCCGAAGACGUGAUGCGCAGCGAACAGAAGUAGCGAAGCUUCGGCCCCUAACUGCCAAGAAAAGCCGCUAUUGUUUGCAUGACACCCGUACCGUAAACCGACACAGGUGGAUGAGGAGAGAAUCCUAAGGCCGACGGGAGAAGCAUUGUUAAGGAACUCGGCAAAAUGACCCCGUAACUUCGGGAGAAGGGGUGCCUCGAAAGAGGCCGCAGAGAAUUGGCCCAAGCAACUGUUUAGCAAAAACACAGGUCUAUGCAAAACCGAAAGGUGAGGUAUAUGGGCUGAUGCCUGCCCGGUGCUGGAAGGUUAAGAGGAGAGCUUAGCGCAAGCGAAGGUUUGAAUUUAAGCCCCAGUAAACGGCGGCCGUAACAAUAACGGUCCUAAGGUAGCGAAAUUCCUUGUCGGGUAAGUUCCGACCCGCACGAAAGGCGUAAUGAUUUGGGCGCUGUCUCGACAAUGCACCCGGUGAAAUUGAAGUACCAGUGAAGAUGCUGGUUACCCGCGCCAGGACGGAAAGACCCCAUGGAGCUUUACUCUAGCUUGAUACUGGGAUUCGGUAUUGUCUGUACAGGAUAGGUGGGAGGCUAUGAACCGUGGACGCCAGUCUGCGGGGAGCCGCUGUUGGGAUACCACCCUUACAAUACUGGAUUUCUAACCUGCCGCCAUGACCUGGCGGAGGGACAAUGUCUGGUGGGGAGUUUGACUGGGGCGGUCGCCUCCGAAAGAGUAUCGGAGGCGCUCAAAGGUCCUCUCAGGAUGGACGGAAACCAUCCGAAGAGUGCAAAGGCAUAAGAGGGCCUGACUGUGACACCGACGGGUGGAGCAGGUACGAAAGUAGGACUUAGUGAUCCGGUGGUAGAAAGUAGGAUUGCCAUCGCUCAACGGAUAAAAGCUACCCUGGGGAUAACAGGCUUAUCACUCCCAAGAGUUCACAUCGACGGAGUGGUUUGGCACCUCGAUGUCGGCUCAUCGCAUCCUGGGGCUGUAGCAGGUCCCAAGGGUUGGGCUGUUCGCCCAUUAAAGCGGUACGCGAGCUGGGUUCAGAACGUCGUGAGACAGUUCGGUCCCUAUCCGGCGCGGGUGUAGGAUAUUUGAGAGGAGCUGUCCUUAGUACGAGAGGACCGGGAUGGACGAACCGCUGGUGGAUCGGUUGCAUUAUCAAGUGCAUGGCCGAGUAGCCAAGUUCGGAAGGGAUAAACGCUGAAGGCAUCUAAGCGUGAAGCCCCCCUCAAGAUGAGAUAUCCCAUUCUUUAAAAGAAGUAAGACCCCUUGAAGACCACGAGGUAGAUAGGGCAGAGGUGGAAGUACGGUAACGUAUGGAGCUGACUGUCACUAAUCGGUCGAGGGCUUGAUC